UUGACGCUGGCGGCAUGCCUUACACAUGCAGUCGUACCAAGGUAGCCGUAAGUUGCUUUUCUAGUGGCUCGGGGUGAGUGUGAGUCCGAACGGGCCCCCUGCCGGGGGAUAACUGCUCACUCGGGUAACUCGGGGCUAAUACCAUCUGAGGUUGAAAACGGGGGGCCUUCAGGCCUCACGGGAUUGUCGCGUCCCAUUUAUGAUUGGGUCCUUGUCGGAUUAAAUGCUUACCAAGCCGACGAUCUGCCACUGGUCCGAUAGGACGACCACCCGACUGGUGAUGAGACACGCCCCAGACUCCUACGGGAGGCAACUCCGGGGAAUUUUGGACAAUGGGAAAAUUCCUGAUCCAACAAUGCCCUGAGCGAGAAGAACCCCUUGAGUUUUUAAACUUUUUUUGUCCGGAACCUCUGUUGUCUUCUAAUAACAGGUGCCCCAUGAAUAUACCGGCACCUUGACGGCGCCUAACUACGUGCCACGGCUCACUACAUGCCAUAAGGCGCGAGCAUUCAUCGGAGUUACUGGUUAUAAAGAAUGCUUGGGCGUAUAUGUCGCGCAGGUGUUAUCUCCCCGGGCUCAACCUGGCACCUGGCUUUGCCACUGCGGGUCUUUGGUAACGGGGAGACUGAUGUACUUCCGAGUGUAGUGGAGUUCUGUGUGUAUCUGCGAAGUGACCACGGUGGGGAGGAACUCCCCUG
rnacentral:rRNA from 1 species